rnacentral:rRNA from 1 species
GAUGAACGCUGGCGGCGUGCCUAAUACAUGCAAGUCGAGCGAACGGACGAGAAGCUUGCUUCUCUGACGUUAGCGGCGGACGGGUGAGUAACACGUGGAUAACCUACCUAUAAGACUGGGAUAACUUCGGGAAACCGGAGCUAAUACCGGAUAAUAUUUUGAACCGCAUGGUUCAAAAGUGAAAGACGGUCUUGCUGUCACUUAUAGAUGGAUCCGCGCUGCAUUAGCUAGUUGGUAAGGUAACGGCUUACCAAGGCAACGAUGCAUAGCCGACCUGAGAGGGUGAUCGGCCACACUGGAACUGAGACACGGUCCAGACUCCUACGGGAGGCAGCAGUAGGGAAUCUUCCGCAAUGGGCGAAAGCCUGACGGAGCAACGCCGCGUGAGUGAUGAAGGUCUUCGGAUCGUGAAACUCUGUUAUUAGGGAAGAACAUAUGUGUAAGUAACUGUGCACAUCUUGACGGUACCUAAUCAGAAAGCCACGGCUAACUACGUG